rnacentral:misc_RNA from 1 species
GCAGGUUCUUAUCCAACCAUGUAUUAGGUCAAAGCAUUGAAAACAUAACCAGCCCGGGAGGAAUAACAGCAACACAAGCUUGUAACGAAAUUCUAAACAGAAUUCCAAAAAUGGAACAUCAAAACUCUCAAACUCAUGAGAAACAAAGAGAAUCCAGAUACAUUUUCAAGAACAAUCUAAACGUCUUUAAUGGAGACUAUAGCCAAAAAGCUUGCCUAGAUGCAAUUCCUAGUAACGCCCAAUACCCCAAACCCUAAUCAAACCAUCUGUAUAUCCGCUGAAAAGUGUGCUUCCAUCAGCACUCCAACUCAAACUGGUACAGUAAAUGACCUUGGUUUUUGGUGCAGUUCCACUCUCGUUAGCCAUCUCACUCUCAUGCUUGAGAUCAACUUUAAGGUCAACCACGAUGCUCUUGCUCUCCAAGUCCCAAAUCUUAAUGCUAGACUCGGUGGCUGCGCAGAGCCAGUACCUGUUAGGACUAAAGCAGAGAGUAUGAAUGAUGGAGCCAGCGUCAAGGGAGUAGAGCUUCUUCCCCUCAGCCAAAUCCCAGAGCAAAAUAACUCCAUCCUUGCCACCACUAGCGCACAAGGAACCAUCAGGUGACACUGCCACAGUGUUCACAUAGCCAGAGUGUCCAGCAAGAGUCGAACGCAGCUUACAGUUGGUGAGGUUCCAGAUUUUCACAGUACGAUCCCAGGAACCAGAAACAAUAGUUGGCUGGAGAGUGUUUGGGCUGAAACGCACACACGAAACCCAAUCGGAGUGUGAGUCUCCGUCCUGAAUGGUGUAUUUACACUCACCGAGAGUGUUCCACAACUUGAUAGACUUGUCCCGUGAAGCGGACACAAUCUGACGGUUAUCAACGGAAAAAGCAACGGAGAGAACAUCCUUAGUGUGACCAACAAAACGGCGAGCAGUAGUGCCGGCUUGAAGAUCCCAAAGGCGAAGCUCUCCAUCCCAAGAACCAGAGAGAGCAAACAUACCGUCGGAGGAGAGAACAACAUCCUGAACAAAGUGGCCGUGGCCUGUGAGACGGCGGCGGGGGACACCGUACUGUGCGCCAUCCUUGGUGAGAGACCAGACAAUGAUGGACUUGUCCCUGGAGGAAGUAACAAUCAUGUCAGAGUUAUCAAUUGGGGUGGCGAUGGCAGUGACCCAAUCGGUGUGGGCUUUCAUGGUGCCGCGAAGGACAAGUGAUUCUUGCGCCAUUUUGUCAAGCAAGGUGGUCGCCGCUCCGGUUAUCCUCUGAAAGGCAAGUGAGACGACGAUA